UUACUUACCUGGAUGGGGUCAAUGGUUGAUCAUGAAGGACCAUGGCCUAGGAAAGUGACCUCCAUUGCACUUAGGAGGGGGUACUAUCCUAAGGUCUACCCGUGGAACCUACGUCCUAAUUUGUUGCAUUGGGGGCCUGCGUUCGCGCGGCCCCUUC